ACCUCAUACCCCCCUUGAACCCUNNAUUUCUAUUAAGUAAUUUUAUACUCUUAUAAAAGUCUNNAUGCUAAAACUAGUAACAAGAAAUAGAANUUCUCCCUAAUNNAACCUUAAACCAAAACGGACCAACCAUUGGAAAUUAACGCUAAUAAACCUACAAUAACAACGCAUGCAAGAGAACAUUAUUACAAACUCACGUUAACCUUACACAAGAAUAUUUCGGGAAAGAUUAAAAGAAAGGAAAGGAACUCGGCAAACUUUAGCCCCGCCUGUUUACCAAAAACACUGCCUUUUGACAAAACAUAAAAGGUCCAGCCUGCCCAGUGAAGCACUUAAACGGCCGCGGUACCCUGACCGUGCAAAGGUAGCAUAAUCAUUCGUUCUUUAAAUAAGGACUUGUAUCAACGGCAUCACGAGGGCUAUACUGUCUCCCCUCUCUAAUCAGUGAAACUGACCUCCCCGUGAAGAGGCGGGGAUAAUUAUACAAGACGAGAAGACCCCAUGGAGCUUUAAACCCAAUAAUACCCUCUACCCAACAUUUACUAUAAAAUUUUAGAGGCCCUAUCUAUUGGUUUUAGGUUUUUUCGACCACGGAGUAAAAUAAACCCUCCUUGACGAACGGUUUAACCCUAAUCCAAGAGCCACCGCUCUAAGAAUCAAAAAUUUGACGUAACAUGAUCCGACACCCGAUCAACGAACCAAGUUACCCUGGGGAUAACAGCGCAAUCCAUUUUAAGAGCCCCUAUCGACAAAUGGGUUUACGACCUCGAUGUUGGA
rnacentral:rRNA from 1 species